rnacentral:rRNA from 1 species
UACGGAGGAUGCAAGCGUUAUCCGGAAUCAUUGGGCGUAAAGGGUCCUGAGGUGGUUUGCUAAGUCUACUGUGAAAGAUCAGGGCUCAACCCUGAAGAUGCGGUGGAAACUGGCUGGCUAGAAUACGGUAGGGGCAGGGGGAAUUCCCGGUGUAGCGGUGAAAUGCAUAGAUAUCGGGAAGAACACCAAAGGCGAAGGCACCCUGCUGGGCCGAUAUUGACACUGACAGACGAAAGCUAGGGGAGCGAAUGGG